CCUACGGGGGGCAGCAGUGGGGAAUAUUGGACAAUGGGCGAAAGCCUGAUGCAGCAACGCCGCGUGAGCGAUGAAGGCCUUAGGGUUGUAAAGCUCUGUCCUCAAGGAAGAUAAUGACGGUACUUGAGGAGGAAGCCCCGGCUAACUACGUGCCAGCAGCCGCGGUAAUACGUAGGGGGCUGGCGUUAUCCGGAGUUACUGGGCGUAAAGGGGGCGUAGGUGGAUUCUUAAGUCAGAGGUAAAAGGCUACGGCUCAACCGAAGGAAGCCUUUGAAACUGGGGAACUUGAGUGCAGGAGAGGUGAGUGGAAUUCGUAGUGUAGCGGUGAAAUGCGUAGAUAUUAGGAGGAACACCAGUUGCGAAGGCGGCUCUCUGGACUGUAACUGACGCUGAGGCACGAAAGCGUGGGGAGCAAACAGGAUUAGAUACCCGAGUAGUC
rnacentral:rRNA from 1 species